CGUAGGUGGCAAGCGUUACUCGGAAUCACUAGGCGUAAAGCGCAGGUAGGCGGUUGGGUAAGUCUCUUGUGAAAGCUCCUGGCUUAACUGGGAGAGGCCAAGGGAAACUACCCGGCUAGAGUAUGGUAGGGGGUACUGGAAUUCCCGGUGUAGCGGUGAAAUGCGUAGAUGUCGGGAGGAACACCUAUGGCGAAAGCAGGUACCUGGGCCAUUACUGACGCUGAGCUGCGAAAGCUAGGGGAGCAAACAGGAUUAGAUACCCUGGUAGUCCUAGCCCUAAACGAUGUUCAUUAGAUGUGAGAGGUAUCGACCCCUUUCGCGUCGAAGCUAACGCAUUAAAUGAACCGCCUGGGGAGUACGGCCGCAAGGUUG
rnacentral:rRNA from 1 species